CCUUGAUGGUGCUUAUAAUCCUGUUCAUAACACUUCAUGACUGACAGCUGUCUGUACUUCACAGCGACAGACACCAACACAGCUAUGGCGUCUAUCAGCAUCUUCAUUGUGGUCUUUGCCUUUUUCUCUCAAGAAUCCAGUGGCCAGGUCACUGUGACUCAGACCCCUGCAGUAAAGGCUGUUCUCCAAGGACAGACUGUCACUAUGAGCUGUAAAGUCAGUCCGGCUGUGUAUAACAAUAAUAUCUUAGCCUGGUACCAACAGAAACCUGGAGAAGCUCUUAAACUCUUGAUCUAUUAUGCAAGUACCCUUAACUCUGGGAUUCCAUCUCGAUUCAGUGGCAGUGGAUCUAGUACUGACUUCACUCUGACCAUCAGUGGAGUCCAGGCUGAAGAUGCAGGAGAUUAUUACUGUCAGAGUUACCAUAGUGGUGGGGUGUUCACACAGUGAUACAGAGCCGUACAAAAACCUUCC